UACACUUUAGUAUAUGAUGUAUAUUAAUUUUUGACAUUAAAUGAAAUAGUUAAAUUCUAUUAAGUGUAAU
rnacentral:tRNA from 1 species